GUUACUGCUGUGGAUUAAACAUGUCCCCCCAAAAUUCACGUGUUGGAAAUUAUUACUGAUGCAAAGGACUGAGAGGAGGGACUCCAAGAGGUGAUUAGGGCCCGAGGGCUUUGUCUUCAUAAACUGAUUAAUGACCCCAUCUGCGAGGCGGUGAGUUUAAAAGAGUCUUAAACCACCUCUUGCUCCUGAUCUCCCUCUCCUCUCUUCCCUGGCCCUUCUGCCUUGCACCCUGGGUGACACAGCAAGAAGGCCCUUGUCAGAUGUGGGACACUUAAUUUGAGGCUCCAGAAAGGGCAGCAAUGUACCCAGCUGGAAUAUUCACCUUGUCACAUGCUCAAGCUGCAGCGGUGUGUCCUGACCCAGAACUGACACCUACAGGGUGGGGCUUUGAGGAAGCAGACUCUACUCCAUACAAGUGAUCUUUUCAACCUGGAGCAGAAAGCGGUGGUUUAUGGAGAAGCCGGAAGGGGUGGGAUAAGGGGAAUUGGACACGGUCUGCAGAAAUGCCAAGUGACACCUGGGAGGAAGAAUAGUUUCUAAAGACUUGUUUGUUUUCUUUGCCCAAAGAAACAUGGUUUAAGAGGCCAACCUCAGUAUUUGUCGCAAUUCACAGAGUUUGGGCUCCCUAAGUGCCUGUAUUUAAUCAAUAUUUUAUGAGUUUGAAUCAUCUCCAAUGAACUUGUACGUUUCCUAAAUGAUGAGACAUUCCUGGACAAUGCUUUCAUCAAUAAAUUAUCAUGAUGGCGUAUUUAA